AUUGAACGCUGGCGGAAUGCUUUACACAUGCAAGUCGAGCGGCAGCGCGGGGGCAACCCUGGCGGCGAGCGGCGAACGGGUGAGUAACAUAUCGGAACGUACCCAGUCGUGGGGGAUAACUAUCCGAAAGGAUAGCUAAUACCGCAUACGACCUGAGGGUGAAAGCGGGGGACCGUAAGGCCUCGCGCGAUUGGAGCGGCCGAUAUCGGAUUAGCUAGUUGGUGAGGUAAAGGCUCACCAAGGCGACGAUCCGUAGCUGGUCUGAGAGGACGACCAGCCACACUGGAACUGAGACACGGUCCAGACUCCUACGGGAGGCAGCAGUGGGGAAUUUUGGACAAUGGGGGGCAACCCUGAUCCAGCCAUUCCGCGUGAGUGAAGAAGGCC
rnacentral:rRNA from 1 species